rnacentral:lncRNA from 1 species
GAUUUUUGUCAAACUGGCUAUGAAGAGAAAGAAGGUAGAGAUGACGAGAAGAAGGAUCCAUCGCGGCCGUUCGCUUCUGUUGGUCGAAAGGUAAAACCCUUCCUUGUUUGGGUGGAGGCAUUUUGAGUCAUAAAUCAAUGAAUAUAUCAUAAGUUUUAAUCUGCAAUUUUUGGCUAUUGGCGUCGUUCCGGUGUUGAGGUCCCAUUUAUUGCUUCGUUUGGGAAAGAAGUUGUAGCACAACCAUCUCUUUUGGCACCCAUCCUCGUAUGCACCAACAUAUCUAUUACACCCCUGCUUAUCUUUUUCUUGUUAUUUUCUCCUUUUUUUUUUUUUUUUUUUUUCCUUUUUUUUUCUUUUUUUGGUUUCAUCUACACACGACCAUAGUUUCCUGUAUAAGGAUUAUUUUAGCAGCAUAGUCAAGUCAUAUCAAUAGCCCUCAUUUUUUUUUCCCUCAUUUGGGGAUUGAUAUAUAGGUAAGUGGGUUUUUAGUUUGGGAUUUCCAUGUGAUGAUUUUCAUUAUUUUCUUGUUCCUUAAGAAAAAUUUAAUCUUGAAUAUGGUUCUUAUUUGGUGUUUUUUUAUGGUCAAGAUUCCCUUUUUUCCCCCCAUGUUACACUUCAUAGAUUUUGAAUUUUUAAGAAGAGGUAGACGUUGAUUUCGAGAAGACAGUGACGUUGGGCUUCCAAACUAUAUAGAUUAAUUAUGUUGUUUUCCUUAGGUGAGAUUAUUGCUAACCCCUCUAUUAUUGAGAGAUUUUGCCACUUCAGCUUAAAUAUCUUUGUUCGAUAGGUGUUGGCAAGAAUUUCUGGUUAUAAAUAUGUUGUUGGUGUAUUCUUUUUUCAAGUUUCCUCAAGGUUUUUGUUGAAUUAUGAGGUAAGGCUGAAUUUUGGUUGUGGUAUAAAUUCCUUGCCACGUUCAUGGGAUCCUUGAAGUAUGCUACAUGGGUUAUGUCAAUAUAGAUGACUAAUAUGAUUUAUGAGUUCAGAUAUAUGCCCUUUUGAAGUAAUGACUUGUUAUAACAUGGAAUAUAAGUGGACGGACUAGCAAAAAGAAAAUGACAAGGGAAGAAUAGUUUGUUUUCAUAUAAGAGAUUUGAUGCACAAUUUGAGAAUAAAAUAAUUGUCAAUACUUAUUUGGAAUGGUUUAAAAAUCAAAUAAGAUACUCCACCUGUAUGAAUACUGUUUUGGAUAGAAGCCUGUAGAGUUUGACAUUGCGGUUAGAGGUAAUGUUAUUUUUAUCUUUUGUUAGAAUUUCCCGAUUACCACUUUAUGGGUUCAAAAUUAGAAGGCUUUCCUUGAGUAAAAAUGAAGGUGUUUCAGUUGAUGGCAAUUCUGGAAGGAAUAAGGAGAAAUCAUUGUUGGACCUGCUUUGGUUAUUGAAGCUUGGCUUUUGGUUGCCAUUUUUGUAUGUGUAUUUAUUAUUUAUCACCUUCUCCAACAAAGCCAUAAUUCUUACUAUCAGUGCUUGAUUUUAUAUUGAUCUUUAUAUACAUAGAUUUUUUUAUUUUUGUUUGUGUAGAAAUUCAUUCGCCAAGAUAGUCAAUUCUUGAACUGGAAUGGUAGAUCGAUAAGUAGAAAUUCUGGGUAUCCAAAUUGAGAUUUUUGGUGAAAAUCUUGGUUCUUAUAGGAAUCAAAUUUUGAUUAUGUUUUUCUUGGUGGGUUUGUGGUUUAUGAUGAUCAAGAUUAUUGAGAUUUUUAUUGUAUUUUAUUUUAUUUUAUUUUAUUUUACAGGUUUUGGAUUUUCAAUUUUGGGAAGUUGAUAGUAGAUGUUGAAUUGGAUAGGUGGAACAUCUAAAUUAUAUGGAUAAUUUAUGAUGUUAUCAGGUUAGGAUUUGCUUUCUGUUAUUUUAACAUAAUUAAUGUAUAGAUUGUAUUAUUUCUGGAAUUUGACUAUUGAGACAUUUUUCAUAGUUUCUCAUCAAUUCUUUCAGGCUAAAAUUGUUGUUUAAAUGAUUAUUUAUGAUAUUAAAUAGUAAAACCCAUUAUUAAUUUAUGGUCUCUCAUUUGGUUCCUUCUGGUUUUCUGUUAUUUUACAUUAGUUGAUCUAAACUUAUGUCCAUAAAAUAAAUUAGCAACGUGGUGAUGAGAUACAUCUAACCACAUUUAGGGAAAGAAGGCUACCAUGCUUGAGAUAAUCUUUAAUAAAAAAGAUUUGAUAAGAAAUGGAACAUUUAAAGCUUUUGAAAUCCAUAAAUGAAGCAUAUGAAAGCAAUGGAAUUGCAGUGGGAGUUGAAGAAAGAAAAUUUAUAAUUGAAUCAUCAUAGGCAAAUAAAAAAUAAGAUUUUGAGCAUUCUUACUAUACUAACAAAUCCCAUGCACAAGAAAUAGAUUUAACACUAUGGUCAAGUAAUUAAGUAUGCACUAAGUUUAGAUUAAAAUAUUAGAAGUGUUCUGUUAGAAGAUGACUUUUGAAAUAAUUGUAAAUAUGAACAAAAAUUCAGUUGAAUAAAUGAGUCAUGAGAAAUAGUUUGAAGAUCAAUUUCAUUCUCGUGACAAGCAUAUGAUGCAUCAUAAGAAAUUUUUGAAAGGUAUGUUGACAACUGUAAAAUCAAGUUAUGAAAAUGUCCACCAUCUUCUAUAUAUCGAUCUGAUUGUCAAUUUAUCAAAAAAAUAUCAAAGAUCUAGAUAUGGCUUGUUUAUAUAGGGCCUCGAAAGGCGAAUUAUGAAACAACCUAAUUGACUAGGAGUACCUAAUUAGGAACUAACUUUACCAGUUUAUAUAAUCCGUCCCUUAUGUGAUUGCUUCUCAUUCCCUGUCAAGUUAUUUGAUAAAUAAGGACAUUUAAAUUAAGAUUGUUUAGAUAUCAUAUUACAAAAUAUUUUAGGGGGUUUAAUUGAAAUUUUUUAACAAAGACAUUUAUGGAAGUUCAAUUGAGAAACUAACUUUCUGGUCUUUGUAUGUCUAUAUAUCAUUCAGGGGAUUUAAUUAACAUACCAACUUUCUCACCCUUGUUAUUUAGUUUUUAUAAACUUCUUCAAUAAUAUCUUAAAUCCGUAAUGUUAUUUUUUUUCUUCUUUUUUAUGUUUUUAUUUUGAUUCUUUUUUUAUUCAACAUUAUAGAUUUCCAUCAGCUCCUGUAUUUCGGAUUCAGCAAUACUUCUUCAUCACUUUCCUAUUUUAGGUGGUCUGGAUUUUGUAAGUAUAUAUUAAAACAUAAAAUUUACUCGCCAAAUUGUUGUUGAACUAGGAAGCACUUAGAUUUAUGUGAUCCCUGGUAAUGAAUUUUAGUUAUGCGGUCUUACAAUUUCCUAUCUAUUUUUGGGAAAGCAAGUUUUCAGUAAGAUCAAGUUGGAAUAUCAUUCUUUUGCAAGUUUUGGUGUUAGAUUGUGAAUUUAGCUUGAAUUGUUUAAGUUAUUAUCAUUUGCAUUGAAAUGUUGUUUAUCUCUUUAAUUCUUGAGAAUUUCUAUUCGAAUUAUUUCGUUUCAUUUGCUGGGUCUUAUACUGUGGACUCUCUAUGUAUUCAAUCAUUCUAGCACUUUUGAGCGGUCAAGCAUAAAUCUAUAUACUGAGGAUUCUCUUUCUGAAUGCACAACUCCUUUUGUUAACCUAAGAUGGUGAAGUAAUUUUGAUAUAUUCCUCCACAUUCCAUUUUUGGGUGUUAAACGAGUACUCAUCUCUGUUACAAUAAAUUCAAGUAUCUUGAUGUUGCUGGCCAGAAGAAUUCCUAACUUUACAUCUUCAAUGGUGUGGCUUAGUUCUUUGGGUUGUUGGUAUGGUCUAUAUAUUUCAUUCAACUUCAAAACUUUGCAUUUUACUCUAAAAUGUUUAGUAUUCUGCUCGUUCAUAUACUCAACAUAUAUUGCAGGGAAAUGGAAACUCAAUUUAUUGAUCAGUUGACCAUGUGUGGAUGAGUUUCUAAAAUCUGAGAUUGUUAUACACCGCCACAAAAUCUGUCUAUUGUUAUUUUUUAGCAUCUCUAUGAUUAUUUGAAAUAUUAGAGUUUUAUAAAUGAAAGACAUUUGCCUCUUUAGUUCCUUGAGAAUAAAGGGCGUUGGGAGUAGCCAUGGAAUUUAAGGAUUUCACUAGGGAAAUAGUUUGUGUAUAUAACGUUUUCAUCAGUAUAAAGUUUUUGAUGGGCCAACCAGUGCGUCAGAUUAAGAUAUUGCAAUGAAUGAUGUCAGCAGAAGUCCAGCAAAGACCUUAACCAGUGCUAAAGGUCCAAGCUUCACUGAGGGGAUUUCUAAGUCAUCAUAUGCCAAGUAAGCAUCAGAUUUGAAAAGCUCUUCUGUAAAGGUGAAUUUUUUUUUUGCUCAUUGAUAGGGGGUCCAAAUAUGAAAAGAUUUGUAUUCUAUUUAGAUUUUUUCUUUGUUAUCCCCAUCUCUCUACGUGUUCCAUUUGGAUAGUUUCUGCCUAUAAAUUUAUUUAACUUGUCUUUUCGUUUGCAGCUAAACCUCUUUCAACAUAGGAAAUCGUUGUCUUACAUUGUAAUUUGGCAUGUGUUUUCAUCUAUAAGGUAGAGAUUGGCCAUUGACUAUUUUUACAAUUGUCUUUGGCUUUCAUGAAUUUUGUGGACAUUUGUAACGAAUUAUGUAACUAUCACGACAAACAAUUCAUUGUUGUAUGAAUUUUAUAUUCUCC